AACGCGAAGAACCUUACCAAGUCUUGACAUCCCCCUGACCGUUCCGUAAUGGGAACUUCUCCUCGGAGCAGGGGAGACAGGUGGUGCAUGGUAGUCGUCAGCUCGUGUCGUGAGAUGUUGGGUUAAGUCCCGCAACGAGCGCAACCCUUAUCCUUAGUAGCCAGCAGGUAAAGCUGGGCACUCUAGGGAGACUGCCAGGGAGAACCUGGAGGAAGGUGGGGAUGACGCCAAAUCAUCAUGCCCCUUAUGACUUGGGCUACACACGUGCUACAAUGGCGUAAACAAAGGGAAGCAGCCCUGUGAAGGUGAGCAAAUCCCAAAAAUAACGUCUCAGUUCGGAUUGUAGUCUGCAACUCGACUACAUGAAGCUGGAAUCGCUAGUAAUCGCGGAUCAGAAUGCCGCGGUGAAUACGUUCCCGGGUCUUGUACACACCG
rnacentral:rRNA from 1 species